rnacentral:rRNA from 1 species
AACGAACGCUGGCGGCAGGCUUAACACAUGCAAGUCGAACGCCCCGCAAGGGGAGUGGCAGACGGGUGAGUAACGCGUGGGAAUCUACCCAGAUCUACGGAACAACAGUUGGAAACGACUGCUAAUACCGUAUACGCCCUACGGGGGAAAGAUUUAUCGGAUUUGGAUGAGCCCGCGUUGGAUUAGCUAGUUGGUGGGGUAAUGGCCUACCAAGGCGACGAUCCAUAGCUGGUCUGAGAGGAUGAUCAGCCACACUGGGACUGAGACACGGCCCAGACUCCUACGGGAGGCAGCAGUGGGGAAUAUUGGACAAUGGGCGCAAGCCUGAUCCAGCCAUGCCGCGUGAGUGAUGAAGGCCUUAGGGUUGUAAAGCUCUUUCACCGAUGAAGAUAAUGACGGUAGUCGGAGAAGAAGCCCCGGCUAACUUCGUGCCAGCAGCCGCCGUAAGAC